rnacentral:tRNA from 1 species
ACUUAAGUAGUUUAAACAAAAUGCUGGUUUGUGGGGCCAGAGAUAUAAUUAAUUUAUCUUGGGUA